rnacentral:lncRNA from 1 species
UCCAAUUCAAGAUUGUCCUUAACCAAAACUAUUAUUUUAUAGGCACCAGGGCCAAAGCAUAUACAUAUAUAUGUAUUUCACACCUCCCAACUGCUUGGUACAAUGAAGGAAAGCUAGCAGCAGCAAAUGAAAAAACUGAUCCUAGGCUCUACAGGAGUCACUGUACUUGGAAAAGGAGAGCAGGGAUGUCUGCUGUAGGCACAGACCAUGGGCAUGAAUGGCUCAGAAGCUGGUGGAACUAGUUGUAGUCUGGGCCAUGCACUAAUAAUCAAGGUAGGUACUAUGAAACUCAAUCCUCCCACCUCCUCUACUGAAAGAUGAUAUAUUACCUAUGACUACAGCAUACAAACCUUAACCUCCCUAGAUUGAAGCAACUCCAAUGUGAAUACAAUUAACAGGGAACCCACGGUAGGGUAUGCUGAGCAAUGCAAUUCAAAUGCCAAAUGUGGAGAACAAAGAUGGUCCUGAUAAUUCUGCUAAAGUAGUAUUUUGCUUAGAUCACAUGAGUCUUAUUAUUCUGGACCAGGUAUUUAACAAAAUAUAAAGAUAUCUAUUACUUUUUGCAAAGAGCUCAGGACCCACAGGACUACCUCUGGUAUCGUCAAGGCUCAAUACAUCAUGUUCUGUGCCUGUAUUUCACAAGUUAGGCAGCUAAUUAGAGACCUAAAAUACAAAACACAUGCACAAAAAGCUCAUCAUCUCUGUCUCCUAUACAGAAUUUGUUUCACUAUGAGGGUGCCAGAUCAAUUUAAAACUUUUGUUGUUUCCUUCCUUCAUAAGUCAAAUGUCAUCAGGUGAAAUCUGAUACCAGGGACAGUACAGUGUUGAUAAAGAUAGUAAAAUAUUGAUGCUAGUAUCAUAUUUUUUUGAUGACCAUAAAUUUUAUACAAUUGGGAGCAAUAUUUUGAUAAAUUAGAUAUUAAAAAAUUUUAAAGCACUAACAGAUUUGAUAAGCUAGAUCAACAAAAAAUGUUUUAAGCUGCCAUGUAUUUUUUUCCAGGCACUGAACAAACAGUUUAUUGUUCCAAGUCUGUCUGGGAGCCCUUGCUUUGGGUUGUAAUAGGAUGAAUGUAAUUGUAGAAUAGGAUUGCACAAAUACAGAAGUCAUGCCCUAAAGGCUACAGCAACAAAUUAAUACAAAUAAUUCUGGCAGUCUUAUAAAAUUACAUCUAUCUCUGUAGAUAUUUCACUUUUGUGUCAUCAAAAACACAGUUUGUAAAAAUAUUUUCAAACUUUUUUUAAACUUCAACAGUAAUCAAAGUUAUCUGACUGCAAGUAACAUCAAAAUGCUAGCAAAUAGACCAUUUUAAUCAGUUUUAUUGAUUCAUGCUUCCAGUUC